UACGUAGGGUGCGAGCGUUGUCCGGAUUUAUUGGGCGUAAAGAGCUCGUAGGCGGCUUGUCGCGUCGGAUGUGAAAGCCCGGGGCUUAACUCCGGGUCUGCAUUCGAUACGGGCAGGCUAGAGUGUGGUAGGGGAGAUCGGAAUUCCUGGUGUAGCGGUGAAAUGCGCAGAUAUCAAGAGGAACACCGGUGGCGAAGGCGGAUCUCUGGGCCAUUACUGACGCUGAGGAGCGAAAGCGUGGGGAGCGAUCCGG
rnacentral:rRNA from 1 species